rnacentral:snRNA from 1 species
GGAUGUGAGAGAGAUCUGGCUGAGACAUCUAUCAUCCCAUUGAUCAUCAGGGUUGAUUGGGUGACCUUGCUAGCAAGAUGAGGGUCCUCUCCCUUUCUUACCACUCCAUGUGUGUCCCUCCCAAAGCUGCACACUCAGUCUAAGAGAUUUCCCCAGUAGAGGAGGACUGUCCUUCAAGGGUCUCCCUGCUAGACCCUCCAAACAAGGUCUUGAGGUCAUGGUGGGCUAAGCCCCAUGAGUGGGGCUUAGGGUGGAGCUAACACAGUUGGGCACAUGGAGGUGGCUGAGAUGCUCAAGAAUCAACUGCCCCUUU